UCUCCGUAGGUGAACCUGCGGAGGGAUCAUUACCAAAGAUGGCGGGCCUCCGCGCCCCCGUCCCCAACCCAUUGUUGACCAAAACCCUUUUGCCUCGGGGGCAGAGCGUCCGCCGCCGCCCCCGGAGGACCAUUUAACGCUGUCUCUUUGCGUCGGAGUAUUGAUUAAAUGAAUGAAAACUUUCAACAACGGAUCUCUUGGCUCUCCCAUCGAUGAAGAACGCAGC
rnacentral:misc_RNA from 1 species